GCCAGCAUAUCUGCUUGCGCUUUAACGCGAAAUUCAAUCGAAACGUCAAAUGUGAUAAAUUAGAAGAAUGCGAAAGUGAAAAAGUGGCUGCUUCCCAAAUUGCUUUUUGCUUUUUAGCCGCACCUAACGUCUCAGCUCCUAACAAAUUAAUCUAAUCCUGGCCAGCUGAAAUGAUAAAAAGCUGAAUUUACACGAGUUGCUCAAUGCGUUCCACAUUCUUGCGUGCGUUGAGAUUGUUUUUGUACUUUGAAGGUGUCAGUUUUGGUUUGACGUCUGGCAAGUGGUUGUCAAAUGAUUACAAACGAAAAAGUGCAUAAGCCAUUGUCAAAAGUCACGAAUGAUAGAAUACAUCGUGGUUAAAAACAAUCAAACACGGAUGAGUACCUCGGGAUGUGUAUAAUGAAAGAAUUGUAACUAAAAAAGUGUACAUCACAGUGUUUAUUGGUAAAUAAUGUGCAAACAAAUAAUAGUAAAGUAGUAAAGCGUUUUCACAAGUUUUCAGUGUACAUUUGCCGCAAGAGUCUCUAUAGCGUCGGUAGGAGGCCAAUUCCGAGCGGUGGCAGCAGCAGCAUUACAAAAUACACUCAAAAAGAGAAGUUUGCUGAGUGUUACAACGCUUACACCACCCCCGAUUGAGCAUGAACACAACGCAAACGCACUUUGUACGCUGCCCACACGAGCACACGAAUUCCACAAACGUGAUGGCGGAGAACUAUGAAUAGAGCGAAUAUUGAUGCAGCCAUAGGUUCAUACGGCAACGCUUAUGCUAGUUUCAAUAGAUUGUCGAGAGCCAGCAACGCGUUGAGAGCGUUUUCCGUGCGUCCGUGCGCCAAUAUCCGAGAUAAAAAGCAAAUCAUUCAAGCGUUGUCACUGGCCACUAAUAAAUAUUGUGGAAACCCGGUAUCCCAGCAUUUCUAACGCACAGCAGUGUUUUACAAGAUCAAAUUAUCACCAAUAAUUCUGAAAGUAAGCAGACAUUAACAACUCGCCACUGCAGCAGCUAGCGCCCGUAACAGACCGACAACCCCGCCUAGUGCCCACCGCAUAAACGAAACAACCGCGCGCGUACGCGUUCGGUUGUAAAUGAGACCCUGAGCAAAAAUCGAUAUUUUCUUUGAUUUGCACGCUGCUAAAGUGGAUUUCACAUUUCUCUUCAAGCAAAAAAGGAAAUAACCGAAAUCGUACACAAGAAAUAAUCGGACUUGUUUGCAUUAAAAAGUAAAGUGAAUAAUAUAAAUUGAAUUGAAAAAAAAAAGUAAUUCAAAGUCAAAAUCAUUCCAUGAUAUUAACGAAAAAAAGGCAAGAAAACGUCAAACGAAUUUGUUGGCUAAUGUAAAAAGUGGAAUAACACAAAAAGCAGAAAUUGGAUAACGAAAAGCAGAGAAGAGACAGAAAGCAGUGUAAAAGAAAAAUCCUAUACACAAAAAAUCAACUACCAACAACCAAAAUCCAAUCGACUCUCAUUCAUAGCUGCUUAGGAAUUUUGGUAACAAUUUGCGCUGAUUUUUGCCAUCACAACCCACCCCUCUCCAUUGUUGUUCGGGAGCUUUUCGCCGAUAAGCUACGUUUUCGACACUGCUCGUCUAACAGCGUCAUCACCUUCAUCGUCAUCAUCAACAGCGAACGCAACAGCAGCAAACAGCGGAUACCAACAGUUUUUCUCCCAGCGCGUGUCUUGCAAUAUACAAGUAAAUACUUCAGGCGCAAGGGACAGAAGGUGUUCAUUAAAAGUAAAGUGUACCAAGUUUCGAAAGCACAUAUAUAUGUGUCUUGACAUGUGCAAAAAUUGCAGAUUCCUGGCAAGAAUUGGAAUUUGUAUUAAAAAUUGAUGCGAAGUUUAUGUGGUGUAAAUGCUUUACGAAAUUCAUUAUUCUUUGUGUUAGGCAAUGAAAUAAAAUAUUUUAAACCACAAAAAGUCUAAAUACGAAUUUGCUAAGCAAAAGUGAGACCGAAAGUGAGUCAUGCUGCCGUUGCCAUUGUCGCAUACGCUAUCGGUAUCGUCGCUGUUAACGUCGCCCAAAUUUUUGUCGAAUGUCGCUGUGGAUAUCACAGUAAAUUAAAUUUGUUGACCGUGAGCGUUACCUUCACCGUUCCACAUACCAGUACGCACGCUAAGACGAACCGCUUGCCACCAAUCGUAGCGCGGUAUAAAUUAGAAAAGCGAAAAUUUACAUAGUAUUAAAAACAAGCGAAAUAUAAUCUAAGUAAUACAAAAAAGUGGUUAAGUGGAAAAUAAAUUAUAGAAGUCAAAAGCAAAUUGCCGACAUUUUUAUUCGAAAAUUAGAAUUUUAAAAGAAACGCCUCGAUAACAACGAUUAUAAAGACAGCGGCACGGCCGUUUGUCCCAAACGUGCGCAUUUCGCAAGGAAAAAUCAAUAAUCGCCAGUCGAGCGAGCAACAAACUACCGCGCGCGUCCUCCCACCACCACAAGAAAAAAUACAGGCGUGGAAAGUGUUGCACACACGCGGUGCGCUGUGAGGCCGACAAAAUUUUGCAGUGAAAAAAGGAAAAUCCAAAAAAGAAUAAGCGUGUGUAAAGAAAAGAAAAUUCUGCUAAAGACCGAAUUUGGAAUUUCAAUUAAUUAAAAUUGCAUAAAAUAAUGAUAAGCUAAACUAGCGUUUUCGACGAGCACUGACUGCCACAUAAAUAUAAAAAUCGCCUUCAAAUUCAAACAACCGAACCCCUUGACCCUUAAAUAACCCACUGAAAGUUGAGCUAAACAAAGUCAGCGAACGACGUGAACAAACGGCAACGAAAGGCCGUUAGCUUAAAAAGUAAAAAUCAUAAUAAAUCACAAAUUUAAAGUCUAACAAGUGAUUUGUCGUCUACUUUUGUAAAAAACCAAACACUGCAAAAUGACAAAAGACAGAUUAGCCGCACUGCAUGCCGCUCAAUCCGAUGACGAAGAGUCAGAGGAAGUGGCGGUCAAUGUGGAUGCCCAUGAUUCGUACAUGGAUGAGUUCUUCAAGCAGGUGGAGGAGAUACGAGGCAUGAUCGACCGAGUGCAAGACAACGUAGAAGAAGUUAAAAAGAAGCACUCGGCCAUACUCUCCGCCCCUCAGUCCGAUGAGAAAACCAAGCAAGAGCUUGAAGAUUUGAUGGCCGAUAUUAAGAAGAAUGCAAAUCGCGUGCGUGGCAAACUAAAAAGCAUUGAACAGAAUAUCGAGCAAGAGGAGCAGCAGAACAAAUCGUCCGCCGAUUUGCGUAUACGCAAAACACAACAUUCAACGCUGUCGCGAAAAUUCGUCGAAGUGAUGACAGAAUACAAUCGCACGCAAACGGAUUACCGAGAGCGUUGCAAAGGCAGAAUACAGCGCCAGCUGGAGAUUACCGGUCGCGCAACGACCAGCGAAGAGUUGGAAGACAUGCUGGAACAGGGCAACCCGGCCGUAUUCACGCAGGGCAUCAUAAUGGAAACCCAACAGGCCAAACAAACGCUGGCCGACAUAGAGGCACGCCAUGCGGAUAUUAUGAAACUGGAGACAUCGAUUAAGGAGCUACACGACAUGUUCAUGGACAUGGCUAUGUUGGUGGAGUCGCAGGGCGAGAUGAUCGAUCGCAUUGAAUAUCAUGUGGAGCAUGCUAUGGACUACGUGCAGACGGCAACUCAAGAUACAAAGAAGGCGCUCAAAUACCAAAGCAAGGCGCGCCGAAAGAAGAUUAUGAUCCUGUUAUGUUUGACUGUGUUGGGUCUCAUAGUUGCUGCAUAUGUUGGCACAACUUUCAUGUAAAUGCAAUUACAUUAUUACUACUACAUGUUUAUUAUUUAUUACAUACAUAUAGUUACAAAAAGCAAAAGGCAAAAACAAAAGCAAAAAAAGUAUAUAGCAACAAAGUAAUAACAAUUAUUAUAACUAGUUAUUAUGUAGCUCUUAUAUCGCACGCUCGCAGCGAGAGUGGAUGGAUGUUGUUGAAAGCCACAAAAACAAAACCCAGCAGCGGUCAACGCAGCUUGGCUGCUACUGGGACGCGAGCAAAUGAGAAAGCGAUAAGAGUCUCAGAGAGAAAUGCCAUGCGGCCGUGAAUGCUGCCAAUUUGUAAGCUGCCUUUGCGGCCUAUUUGGUGAAUUAUUACUUACUUAAUUACCUAAUUAAUUGAUUAAAUGCUAAACAAAAAUAAUUAUAAUGUAUUUGCUAUAUUAUGAAAUCUUAUUGAUUACUGUUAUAAUGCGAAGCAACCACAACCUAAAACAUUAAAGUAAAUAUACACGAAAAAAAAAAAUGCAAAAAGUGAGAAAAUGAAAAGGCAAAUUAACGAAAAUUGCAUUGCAAUGAAAAACAACAAACAAAUUGAACUAAACAAGCAUAAAAUUAAUAAACAAAAAACAUUUAAAACAAAACUAUGUAUUGUACUUUUCAACCUCUCAUAAUUCUCAUAAUUGUUGAUAAGAGUUUCCGGUUAAAAGUUUAGUCACAAAUCGGUUGAAGGUCUGUCUUUUCGUUUGACUUGCUUUUAAGCGUAAAGUUAAAAAAAAAACAAAAACAAUAACAAAAAAUAAGAAAAUGAAAAUAGCAUAUUCAAAGCAAAAUUGACGCUGAAAGCGCGUUUACAAACAUUUUUCAAAAUAUCUCGUUUUCACGCAAUUUUAAGUUCACUUUAAAUGCAUACAUAUAUACAUACAUAUGUAUAAUUUGUACUUUCGAAAUCUCAUAUUUGUAUUAUAAGAAAAGUAACACGCUGUGUAUUUACUUACAUACUUAUUGCAUAUUUAUCUAGUUAACUCUUAUAUAGCAACAAUUUAUUAUUAAAACAAAAACCAAACAAGCUAUGAAACAAACAACAAAUAACUAUUUACUUAUUAAAAGCAUAUAAUCUCUCAAUAUAGAUUCUCUUUAUAUAUUGGAAAACUCAAUUGAAAGAAAUUCGAAAGAAAAAAAAAAUAAAAAAAUUAAAUGAAAAUAAAAAAGGGAAAUGUAACGUGAAAUUUAAGAAUUAAAUUAAAUUCGUAAAAACAAAUCACACUUUAAAUAAUUGACUAUAGCGUAAAAAAUAACGAAGAAAAAACAAAAAAAAAAAAACACGAAAUCACAACACACAGACACAUGCCUACAUAUACACAAAAAUAUUUGCACAUGUAUAUAAAGGUGCAUUUACAUAAAAUUAAAUAUGCAGCGGUAGUGAAAUAGAAAUACUAAUUAAUAACACAAAAUAAAACUUAACUUAACGCUCAUUAAUAACUUUUGUUUUUAGGUCAGAGCAAUAAUUAUUUCCAUUCAUACCUAUGUACAUAUGUGUGCGUUUGUAUAUAAGUAUAUUUAUUUAGUGAAAACAACAAUCACUUGAGUUUUUCCACCAUUAUGCUGAUACAUACAUUUAUAUUUAUUUGCUUGAUUAUUAAGUUAUUUGUGUAGAUAAGAUUACGCUUUCAAAUGCUAGCCAAUUUGAGUAAUAAUCAGAGUAUGCACUUGCAAAUUGUUUUUAUUUGCUGUGAUAAGCACGAGCGCUCAUACAUAAUGCAGAGUAUGAAUUUGUAAUUAAGAGAGAGAGAGAGAGAGUAGCGGUAUUCGUUUAGCAGAAUGGGGCCUGAGAUGAGGAGAAAUGUAUACAAAUGUGGUAGCAGCAUGCAAUUUUUUCAUAUUUUCGUAUUAAAAAGUGAGACUUUGUCAAAAUAAUAAGAGUUUAAAGUCAAAAAUGAUAAAAAUAAAGAAUUUUCAAAAAGAAUAUUCACUGCAUUAAAUCGAAAUCGUAGUGCUUGUAACAAGAUAAAUGAUUAAAAAAAGCUACAUACAUUUGCUGCUGCUGCAUUUUUUCUGUAUUUUUAAGUUAAAAAUAAUAACUUCGCAUGUGUACGAUUGCUUCUCUUUUUAUGUGUUGAAAAUCUCACACAUAACGGCAGCGAACUAGUGCUUGUAAAGCCUGCUAUUGUUCAGAGAGUUUCCCUAAGUGAAUAAGUAUGUUUUGUACGAAUGCAUUUAGUAAAAAAAAAACAAAAAAAAAACCUUAGCACGCAUCCAUGAGCGCCCCUAUUGUUAUUGUAUUUUGUUUUUUUUACACGUUGGGGGCGUACUAUUUAAUGAAUGGCAAAUGGCUGAUCUGUUGAAUGCCUGCAAUUCCAAAAAACAACUGUUCAACAUAUUUCAAACACCUAUGUACCUCUCACUCUCAAAUGAGAAUGCAAGCAAGCAAUUAAACAAAGAGAAAAUUGUAAGCAACAGUAACAAAAAAAAAGCAACAAACAGUGACUAACCGCACUCACAAGCACCUCUGAGUUACCUUUGAGCAGCACCACUUUCUUCUUCCAAAUGCACUGCAACUACAACACCAACAGCUAAGUAUCAACUAUACAGCCAAUGCACUGAUGCUCGCUAUAAAAAUAAAAACAAAAUCACAAAAAAAGUAGCAACUCCACUGCAAACUUUUUCUAGCCGCCUCAAUUAACUGCCAACGCACGCAAAUAAUGCACGAUAAAUUUGAAAAAAAAAACAAAAAAAGAAAAUAUGAAAUGAAACGCGCUUCACAGCAUGUCGAUUGCAAAUAAAUAGCAGAAAACAACAGAAAAGAAAAACUUGUGCAAGUUAGCGGCUCCUUCGUAUUAUUUCAAUAAAUCAAAUCAAAAUGCAAUUCAAUGCACGAUCAACGCCACAAAUGGGAUCCGAAACGGCGACGAUCCAGCGACCCACCAGCCAACGAACGAACUGCAAGGCCACCAACAAGUCAACUUUGCCACCUACAAAACAAAAACAACAUUAAUGAAAAACACCAAUGAGCGGCAACUGCUUGACAGCAAAUUUAUUUUUGCCAUUG